UACGUAGGGGGCAAGCGUUGUCCGGAAUCAUUGGGCGUAAAGCGCGUGUAGGCGGCUGAGUAAGUCUGCUCUGAAAGCCCGGGGCUCAACCCCGGGAGGCGGGUGGAUACUGCUCAGCUCGAGUCCGGAAGAGGAGUGUGGAAUUCCUGGUGCAGCGGUGAAAUGCGCAGAUAUCAGGAGGAACACCAAUGGCGAAGGCAGCACUCUGGGACGGUACUGACGCUGAGACGCGAAAGCGUGGGGAGCAAACAGG
rnacentral:rRNA from 1 species